rnacentral:rRNA from 1 species
AGAACGAACGCUGGCGGCACGCCUAACACAUGCAAGUCGAGCGCCCAGCAAUGGGAGCGGCGGACGGGUGAGGAACACGUGGGAACAUGCCUUUCGGUUCGGCACAACUGCGGGAAACUGCAGCUAAUUCCGGAUACGCCCUUACGGGGAAAGAUUUAUCGCCGAAAGAUUGGCCCGCGUCUGAUUAGCUAGUUGGUGAGGUAAUGGCUCACCAAGGCUUCGAUCAGUAGCUGGUUUGAGAGAACGACCAGCCACACUGGGACUGAGACACGGCCCAGACUCCUACGGGAGGCAGCAGUGGGGAAUCUUGGACAAUGGAGGAAACUCUGAUCCAGCGAUGCCGCGUGAGUGAUGAAGGCCUUCGGGUUGUAAACUCUUUUACCAGGGAAGAUAAUGACUGUACCUGGAGAAUAAGCCCGGCUAACUUCGUGCCAGCAGCCGC